rnacentral:rRNA from 1 species
UACGGAGGGGGCUAGCGUUGUUCGGAAUUACUGGGCGUAAAGCGCACGUAGGCGGCUUUUUAAGUCAGGGGUGAAAGCCCGGGGCUCGACUCCGGAAUUGCCUUUGAGACUGGGAGGCUUGAACGUCGGAGAGGUGAGUGGAAUUCCGAGUGUAGAGGUGAAAUUCGUAGAUAUUCGGAAGAACACCAGUGGCGAAGGCGGCUCACUGGACGACUGUUGACGCUGAGGUGCGAAAGCGUGGGGAGCAAACAGG